UACGGAGGGGGCUAGCGUUGUUCGGAAUUACUGGGCGUAAAGCGCACGUAGGCGGCUUGGUAAGUUAGAGGUGAAAGCCUGGAGCUCAACUCCAGAAUUGCCUUUAAGACUGCCGAGCUAGCAGGUGAGAGAGGUGAGUGGAAUUCCGAGUGUAGAGGUGAAAUUCGUAGAUAUUCGGAAGAACACCAGUGGCGAAGGCGGCUCACUGGCUCAUACUGGACGCUGAGGAGCGAAAGCGUGGGGAGCAAACAGG
rnacentral:rRNA from 1 species